rnacentral:lncRNA from 1 species
UCAUCUUUUCUGAUGUCCUCCCCUCCUUCUCCUACUAGAUCUUCACUUGAUGCCUCUCCGAAAGGCAUCCACCAGGCGAUCCACGGCCUCUGCAGCCAAAUCUCAGGCUCCAGCCUCAUCUCCAGCUUUCCAAGCUCCUCCUCCGAUAAUGGUGGUCGACAGAUUCGUCCGAUGCCGGCCUGAAAGUAGAAAGGAUCGGUCGAGGGCUCUGCCCCA